UACAGAGGGUGCGAGCGUUAAUCGGAAUUACUGGGCGUAAAGCGCACGUAGGCGGUCUUUUAAGUCGGGGGUGAAAUCCUGGAGCUCAACUCCAGAACUGCCUUCGAUACUGAAAGACUACGAGUCCGGGAGAGGUGAGUGGAACUGCGAGUGUAGAGGUGAAAUUCGUAGAUAUUCGCAAGAACACCAGUGGCGAAGGCGGCUCACUGGCCCGGUACUGACGCUGAGGUGCGGAAAGCGUGGGGAGCCAAACAGGGAUUAAGAAACCCUGGUAACGUCCG
rnacentral:rRNA from 1 species